ACCAUCCCAGUUCGGAUUGCAGUCUGAAACUCGAGUGCAUGAAGCUGGAAUCGCUAGUAAUCGCAAAUCAGAAUGUUGCGGUGAAUACGUUCCCGGGUCUUGUACACACCGCCCGUCACACCAUGGGAGUUGGAAAUGCCCGAAGUCAGUGACCCAACCUAAGGGAGGGAGCUGCCGAAGGCAGGUUCGAUGACUGGGGUGAAGUCGUAACAAGGUAGC
rnacentral:rRNA from 1 species